rnacentral:misc_RNA from 1 species
GCAAACUUGGUCAUUUAGAGGAAGUAAAAGUCGUAACAAGGUUUCCGUAGGUGAACCUGCGGAAGGAUCAUUAGUGAAUAAACUUGUGUGGGUUGUUGCUGACCUCCUUGGAGGUAUGUGCACACCUGCCAUUGUUUCAUUCCCCUUCCACCUGUGCACUUUCUGUAGAUCAUGCUGUUGCUUUUCGGGUUUGCUUGCAAUCCCGGUAUGAGGACCUGCUCCGGCUGUCCUUGGACGGUGUGAUCUAUGUCUUUACCAACUCUGUAUGUUACUGAAUGUUUGUUUUGGGUUUUGAACCCAUAAAAUCUAUACAACUUUCAACAACGGAUCUCUUGGCUCUCGCAUCGAUGAAGAACGCAGC